rnacentral:rRNA from 1 species
CCUACGGGUGGCAGCAGUGGGGAAUAUUGCACAAUGGGGGAAACCCUGAUGCAGCGACGCCGCGUGAGGGAAGAAGGUUUUCGGAUUGUAAACCUCUGUCUUUGGUGACGAAAGAUGACGGUAGCCAAAGAGGAAGCUACGGCUAACUACGUGCCAGCAGCCGCGGUAAUACGUAGGUGGCAAGCGUUGUCCGGAAUUACUGGGUGUAAAGGGAGCGUAGGCGGGAAGACAAGUUGAAUGUUUAAACUAUCGGCUCAACCGAUAAUCGCGUUCAAAACUGUUUUUCUUGAGUGAAGUAGAGGCAGGCGGAAUUCCUAGUGUAGCGGUGAAAUGCGUAGAUAUUAGGAGGAACACCAGUGGCGAAGGCGGCCUGCUGGGCUUUAACUGACGCUGAGGCUCGAAAGCGUGGGUAGCAAACAGGAUUAGAUACCCGAGUAGUC